CCUACGGGAGGCAGCAGUGAGGAAUAUUGGUCAAUGGUCGGGAGACUGAACCAGCCAAGCCGCGUGAGGGAUGAAGGUACAGAGUAUCGUAAACCUCUUUUGUCAGGGAACAAAGGCGGGGACGUGUCCCCGGAUGAGUGUACCUGAAGAAAAAGCAUCGGCUAACUCCGUGCCAGCAGCCGCGGUAAUACGGAGGAUGCGAGCGUUAUCCGGAUUUAUUGGGUUUACAGGGGGCGCAGGCGGUCUGGUAAGUCAGCGGUAAAAGCCCGGGGCUCACCCCCGGCCCGCCGUUGAAACUGGCAGUCUCGAGUUGGAGAGAAGUAUGCGGAAUGCGCGGUGUAGCGGUGAAAUGCAUAGAUAUCGCGCAGAACUCCGAUUGCGAAGGCAGCAUGCCGGCUCCACACUGACGCUGAGGCACGAAAGCGUGGGUAUCGAACAGGAUUAGAUACCCCAGUAGUC
rnacentral:rRNA from 1 species